UACAGAGGGUGCAAGCGUUAAUCGGAGUUACUGGGCGUAAAGGGCGCGUAGGCGGAUUUAUAAGUGAGAUGUGAAAUCCCUGGGCUUAACCUAGGAAUUGCAUUUUAGACUAUAGGUCUGGAGUACAGUAGAGGGUGGUGGAAUUUCCGGUGUAGCGGUGAAAUGCGUAGAGAUCGGAAGGAACAUCAGUGGCGAAGGCGACCACCUGGACUGUAACUGACGCUGAGACGCGAGAGCGUGGGUAGCAAACAGG
rnacentral:rRNA from 1 species